rnacentral:rRNA from 1 species
UGGAGAGUUUGAUCCUGGCUCAGAUUGAACGCUGGCGGCAGGCCUAACACAUGCAAGUCGAGCGGUAGAGAGGUGCUUGCACCUCUUGAGAGCGGCGGACGGGUGAGUAAAGCCUAGGAAUCUGCCUGGUAGUGGGGGAUAACGCUCGGAAACGGACGCUAAUACCGCAUACGUCCUACGGGAGAAAGCAGGGGACCUUCGGGCCUUGCGCUAUCAGAUGAGCCUAGGUCGGAUUAGCUAGUUGGUGAGGUAAUGGCUCACCAAGGCGACGAUCCGUAACUGGUCUGAGAGGAUGAUCAGUCACACUGGAACUGAGACACGGUCCAGACUCCUACGGGAGGCAGCAGUGGGGAAUAUUGGACAAUGGGCGAAAGCCUGAUCCAGCCAUGCCGCGUGUGUGAAGAAGGUCUUCGGAUUGUAAAGCACUUUAAGUUGGGAGGAAGGGCAUUAACCUAAUACGUUAGUGUUUUGACGUUACCGACAGAAUAAGCACCGGCUAACUCUGUGCCAGCAGCCGCGGUA